UGUGGAAUGGAGCAGCGGUCAGCUUGCUGGGACACAUAACCCCAGAGGUCAAAGGUUCGAAUCCUUUUUCCACAA
rnacentral:tRNA from 1 species